CGAAGGGGCCAGCGUUGCUCGGAAUUACUGGGCGUAAAGGGAGCGUAGGCGGACAUUUAAGUCAGGGGUGAAAUCCCGGGGCGUCAACCUCGGAAUUGCCUUUGUAUACUGGGUGUCUUGAGUAUGAGAGAGGUGUGUGGAACUCCGAGUGUAGAGGUGAAAUUCGUAGAUAUUCGGAAGAACACCAGUGGCGAAGGCGACACACUGGCUCAUUACUGACGCUGAGGCUCGAAAGCGUGGGGAGGCAAACAGGAUU
rnacentral:rRNA from 1 species